GAUCGAUUUUUGCUGUGAGUAUGUGUUGGGUGUCACCGAUCGCUGGAAUAUCUGAUUCUAGCCAUUCCCUGGCUUGACGAGGAAUUUCUGGCCACAGGAAGGGUUAAGACUGGAUAGGGCCACCAAUUUUGGUAGAGGUCAUCAGUUUCCUGUCUCUCACAGUUGCAAUUAGAGAGGAAGUUACUUUGGAUUUAGAUUAAGGUAAGGUAUGUUCAGUACCUAAUUAAUAGAGAAUUUGUUCUGUUGCUGCA